rnacentral:rRNA from 1 species
AUUGAACGCUGGCGGCAGGCCUAACACAUGCAAGUCGAACGGUAGCACAGAGAGCUUGCUCUUGGGUGACGAGUGGCGGACGGGUGAGUAAUGUCUGGGAAACUGCCCGAUGGAGGGGGAUAACUACUGGAAACGGUAGCUAAUACCGCAUAACGUCUUCGGACCAAAGUGGGGGACCUUCGGGCCUCACACCAUCGUAUGUGCCCAGAUGGGAUUAGCUAGUAGGUGGGGUAAAGGCUCACCUAGGCGACGAUCCCUAGCUGGUCUGAGAGGAUGACCAGCCACACUGGAACUGAGACACGGUCCAGACUCCUACGGGAGGCAGCAGUGGGGAAUAUUGCACAAUGGGCGCAAGCCUGAUGCAGCCAUGCCGCGUGUAUGAAGAAGGCCUUCGGGUUGUAAAGUACUUUCAGCGGGGAGGAAGGCGUUACUCUUCAUAACCUUGGCGAUUGACGUUACCCGCAGAAGAAGCACCGGCUAACUCCGUGCCAGCAGCCGCCGUAA